rnacentral:lncRNA from 1 species
AAAAGUAUCUCACGUCAACGGGGUCGAAAGUACUCUAGAUUUGAUGGACUUGUUUUGACCCUUGAGUUCUUGAGUCAGUUUGCUAAGGUGUGGAGAAUUACACGUGCCAAUUCAUUCUGACAAGACCGAAGAUCACUUGCCACGUGGAGUUGCUCGUUGUCCCAUUCCAUUCAAGAACAAGCCUCAACGGCCCUUGAAGAAAUCACAAGUCCGAUUCAAGAUCAAGUGUCCACCACCCUUGAAUCAAGUUCAGCUCCAGAUAAAAGAAGUAAAUUCAGACAUUUGGUGGAAGUCUGGCAGAAG